GCCCCAGUAACGGCGAGUGAAGCGGCAACAGCUCAAAUUUGAAAUCUGGCCCCUAGGGCCCGAGUUGUAAUUUGCAGAGGAUGCUUUUGGCGAGGCGCCUUCCGAGUUCCCUGGAACGGGACGCCAUAGAGGGUGAGAGCCCCGUCUGGUCGGACGCCGAGCCUCUGUAAAGCUCCUUCGACGAGUCGAGUAGUUUGGGAAUGCUGCUCUAAAUGGGAGGUAUAUGUCUUCUAAAGCUAAAUACCGGCCAGAGACCGAUAGCGCACAAGUAGAGUGAUCGAAAGAUGAAAAGCACUUUGAAAAGAGGGUUAAACAGUACGUGAAAUUGUUGAAAGGGAAGCGCUCAUGACCAGACUUGGACCCGGUGAAUCAUCCAGCGUUCUCGCUGGUGCACUUUGCCGGGCCCAGGCCAGCAUCAGUUUGCCCCGGGGGAUAAAGGCUUUGGGAAUGUGGCUCCCUCGGGAGUGUUAUAGCCCAUUGCACAAUACCCUGGGGCGGACUGAGGUUCGCGCAUCUGCAAGGAUGCUGGCGUAAUGGUCAUCAGCGACCCGUCUUGAAACACGGACCAAGGAGUCGUCUUCGUAUGCGAGUGUUCGGGUGUAAAACCCCUACGCGUAAUGAAAGUGAACGCAGGUGAGAGCUUCGGCGCAUCAUCGACCGAUCCUGAUGUUCUCGGAUGGAUUUGAGUAAGAGCAUACGGGGCCGGACCCGAAAGAAGGUGAACUAUGCCUGUAUAGGGUGAAGCCAGAGGAAACUCUGGUGGAGGCUCGCAGCGGUUCUGACGUGCAAAUCGAUCGUCAAAUAUGGGCAUGGGGGCGAAAGA
rnacentral:rRNA from 1 species